AAUGUAUUUACGAAAAUUUUGAUUCUGAAAAAUAUAUACUUAGGUUUAUGGAAAAAAAAAUAAACGAAAAAAAUAAAAGUAACAAUGAUAGUAACAAUGGUAGUAACAAUGGUAGUAACAAUGGUAGUAACAAUGNNNNNNNNNNUAGUAACAAUGGUAGUAACAAUGGUAGUAACAAUGGUAGUAACAAUGGUAGUAAUAAUAGUACUGAAAAAAAAUUGAAUAUAAAAAAUGAAACACAUAAUGAUAAAUAUUUGGAACAAACAGAAAAUGUAGUGAUUAAUAAAAACACAUUAGGAGGAGUUAGUUAUAAGGAUGAAUCAAUUAAUAGUGAUAAUGAGAAAAUAAAUACAGAUAUAAAUCAUGAUGUGGUGGGAAGUGAAAACAACAUCGGUACAGGAACAGGUAGUAGAACUACUGGUGAUAGUAUUCCUAAUAUAUUAGAUGAACAAAAAUACAAUGAAGAGUUUCAAUUUUUAAGGAUGCAUCCAUUUCAUUUAAAGCGGUGGUAUAGAUUUUUAGAAAUGUACGAAAAAGAAGAAUGUUAUGAACAAUUUUUAAUUAUAUUUCCAAGAUGUACAUAUUAUUGGAUAAGAUAUGCAGAAUUUAAAAUAAAAAAAGAAGAAUAUGAAAUAGCUUAUGAAUUAUAUCGUAAAUGUAUUGAUUCAAAUAUAUACGAUUUAAAUUUAUGGUUAUCUUUUUUAUAUUUUUCAUACCAUACAUCUUCAAUACAUGAAUAUAUAAGUUUUUUAUUUGAGAGUUUAAAACAUGUAGGUACAGAUAUAAAAUCAGGAAGUAUAUGGGUUGAGUUAUUACAUAUAUUAAUAAAAAUAUAUAAUACUAAUUUAUUAGUAAACAACGAUGUACAAAAUUUAUUACCUGACCCAUUUAAAAGUACAGGUAUAAAUACAAGAAACAAAAAUGAUUAUCACCUAAUACCAACAUUGACAGAACAGGCUAUAUAUAAAGCACAGAUUCCAAAUAUGAGUAGUGGUAUCCCAUCUAAUAAUAAUAAUGUAAAUAAUAAUAAUGUAAAUAAUAAUAAUGUUACAUAUAUUGAACAUUAUACGAGUGACAAUAAAUUAAAAAGGUACUAUCUGAGUUGGAUGAAUACAGCUACGAAACAUAUGGAUAAAGCAUGGAAAUGUUUUUGUAUUUAUGAAAAAAGUAUUAGUGAUAAUUUUGUAAAUAGUUCUCUAUCAACAUAUAAUAAUCAGUAUAUGAACUGUAAAAAUGCAUAUAAAGAAUUAUGUUUAUUGUAUAAAGAUUUAAAUGAUUUUGAUAAGAAACAUAGUAAGAAUGGUAAUAAUGUUAAAAAAAUAAAUCGUGACAAAAAUAUGAUAAUAAUCCCAUUUAAUAAUAAAAAAUGUAAAAUGAAAAAUUAUUUGUUAUAUAUUAAAUGGUUAAAUAUUAUAAAUUAUGAAAAAACAAAUCCAUUAAAUUUGGAAUUAUGUUUAGUACAUAAAAGAAUUAUGUAUGUUUAUGAACAGGCUUUAAUUCAUUUACCUUUUAAUGGUGAUAUAUGGUUUUCGUAUUUCCAAUUUUUAUUAUUAAAUAGAAAGUAUCAUUAUGCUAUUCGUAUUAUGAGAGAGGCCAUUGAAGUUUAUUUACCAUACAAUGAUUUAUUAAAAUUAAAUUUUGCUUUUUUUUUUGAAAAACAUGGAUUAAUUAAUCAGGCACAUUUUGUUUACCAGUUAAUGAUCAACGGAGUAACAAAAAACAAAGACAAGUUUGCUUUAACAUUUUUGUAUUCAAAAAAGAAUUUUAAAAGAGUAAGUAAUAAAAGAGGGAUUAGGAAACGAAUGAAGAAAUUGUCAGCGACAGAAUGUAAAACUGGAGAAAAAGGAGAAGGAGGAGAAAAAGGAGAAGGAGGAGAAGAAGGAGAAGGGGAGGAAGAAGAAGAACAAACACAGAUGAAUAAGAAAAAAAAAAUAACUGAAAAAAAUAAUGAUUCAGAUGAAUAUAUAAGUAAUAAUGUUACUUUACCGGUUGAAGCGAAUUUAGCAAGUUUAGAAAAAGAAGGCGAAAAAAAUAGAACAAAGUUAGAUAGUGAAUAUCAAGUUAGUACAGACUUAGUUAAUAAAGAAAAAAAUAAUAAUUUAAAUAAAACAACAGAAAACGGAUUAGAAAGCAAUAGCCAAAGCAAUAGCCAAAGCAAUAGCCAAAGCAAGGGCCAAAGCAAGGGCCAAAGCAAGGGUCAAAGCAAGGGUCAAAGCAAGGGUCAAAGCAAGGGUCAAAGCAAGGGCCAAAGCACGAACCUAAGCAAUAGCCUAAGCGAUGGAGAAAUAAGAAAAAAAUUCGAUCAAAAUGAUUAUGAACAAAUAGAAGAAAGGAAACAAUAUUUCAUAAAUUAUAUGAAUUUAGAUAAAAAAAAUGAACAAAAAAAAAGGGAUUUUGUAUAUAUUC
rnacentral:lncRNA from 1 species